AUAAAGUGCUUUCACUGUGGAGGAGGGCUAACUGAUUGGAAGCCCAGUGAAGACCCUUGGGAACAACAUGCUAAAUGGUAUCCAGGGUGUAAAUAUCUGUUAGAACAGAAGGGACAAGAAUAUAUAAACAAUAUUCAUUUAACUCAUUCACUUGAGGAGUGUCUGCUAAGAACUACUGAGAAAACACCAUCACUAACUAGAAGAAUUGAUGAUACCAUCUUCCAAAAUCCUAUGGUACAAGAAGCUAUAUGAAUGGGGUUCAGUUUCAAGGAUGUUAAGAAAAUAAUGGAGGAAAAAAUGCAGAUAUCUGGGAGCAACUAUAAAUAACUUGAGGUUCUGGUUGCAGAUCUAGUGAAUGCUCAGAAAGACAGUACACAAGAUGAGUCAAGUCAGACUUCAUUACAGAAAGAGAUUAGUACUGAAGAGCAGCUAAGGCACCUGCAAGUGGAGAAGCUUUGCAAAAUCUGUAGGGAUAGAAAUAUUGCUAUCGUUUUUGUUCCUUGUGGACAUCUAGUCACUUGUAAACAAUGUGCUGAAGCAGUUGACAAGCGUCCCAUGUGCUACACAGUCAUUACUUUGAAGCAAAAAAUUUUUAUGUCU
rnacentral:lncRNA from 1 species